rnacentral:misc_RNA from 1 species
GAUGAAGAACGUAGCGAAAUGCGAUAAUUAAUGUGAAUUGCAGAAUUCCGUGAAUCAUCGAGUCUUUGAACGCACAUUGCGCCUCAUGGCAUUCCGUGAGGCAUGCCCAUCUCAGCGUUAGAAAAUAUUCUCAAAUUUUAGUUUUGUGCUAAAAUUUGGAUCAUGUCAAGGAAGCUAUUACUAUUAUUGUGAUCGCUCUUUGGAAAUUGAUAGGUCUUUGAGUUGCUACUCAUAGAACGUGAUGAAUCUUUCUUCGUUCUAUUGUAAUUCACUCUGGUAGUCCUAAAACUUGUAUGCCUGUGGCAUAUCUUGUAACUUGACCUGAGAUUGGGUAGGGAUACCCGCUGAACUUAAGCAUAUCAAUAAGCGGAGGA